rnacentral:rRNA from 2 species
GAAUUUUAUAUAAUUUUAUUUGAUUAGAUUAUAUUUAGUUAAAUAUAAUAAAAUUAUAUUUUAUUGGGAGGAUAGUUAAAUAUUUUUAACUUUAAUUAAAAGUUAGAAGAUAAAUUAAUAAAUUAUUAGGAAUGGUUUAUAAAUUAAAUAAGAAUUAAUUACCUUAGGGAUAACAGCGUAAUAUUUUUGGUGAGUUCAUAUCAAUAAAAAUGUUUGC